GGGAUUUAAAGGGAAAACCUUUCAAAAUUAAUCAAAAAAAACAUUUCACUAUGGAUAUUCUCUAUUAUAUACUCCGAAACUUACCACCAAGUUUUGUACUUUUCCAGCAGGUUGUAGAUGGUUUCACACAGACCGUCCUUGGCCAAAAUAAGCUUGACUUCGUCACUCUCCGCCUGGUAAUGGAGCAACUCCAGGCACAUCUCGGCAAGAUCGGGAUUUGUGGAAGCGGCCAGAAUGCGAGACAGCUGGAUAUUCAGGGAGGAAUCAAAGUUUAGAUCCGCCACGUUUUCGUCCGACCUUUCCUGCCGCCAAGUACACACGCUGGAAAUUACAUUCCAAUAGGACGAGGGACACUGGACGAAGGGCAAGAGCCAGACUCCGGCGCUCCACAACUGGCGACAGUUGGUGGCAACAGCAACAGCAACAUUGUGGACUGGGUUAGCAAUUGAACAAACUUUGUGGAGCAUAAAUAAUGAAUAAGUAAAACAAAAAGCAAAGAAAACCCUUCAGCCGGGCGGGCAAUCGUCGUCAUCAUCAACCACAUCAUCAACGGAGGCAGCAUUCACGAUUUGGCAUAGAAACAGCAACAAAGGACGCAACAGCAGCAGCUAAAGCUAAAGCAGGAUGCAAAAGAGCACACUAACUCCCAGACAAGUUGCACUUAGAAAUGUAACCCCAACUAAAGAGAACACAAGUGCACUGGCUGCAUUCGAGGGUACCGACUUUAAGGUACCCUAAUGGUGAAGGUACAAAACACCAAUUCCUUUAAAACAAUUUGUACAACAUAAGAUUGUCCAAUAACAUAAUAGAAUACACAUUCAAAGGCUGCAUCCGUGUGUAACGACUUUGAGAUACACUAACGUAAGGGGCUAACCAUCGGUUAAAAUAUUAGUCUAAUUACUAAUUCCUUAUCCGCCUGUUGAAUAUAUCGAACUCCAUUUCAGAUUAGUAGUUAAUGUUAUCCUCGAAUUUCGAA